UAGGUACAACCCUGCCCUCUGACUUUUAACAGCCGCGGUAUCCUAACCGUGCUAAGGUAGCAUAAUCACUUGCCUAUUAAUUAUAGGCUAGAAUGAACGGGAUCACUCACUUAAACUUAUUUUUAUUUAAAUUUAAAUUAAACUUUAAGUCAAAAUACUAAAUUAAAAAGAAAGACAAAAAGACCCUGAAAACUAUUAGAAAUAAUUAGUUGGGGCAACUAUAGACCACUCUAGCGUCUAUUUUUUUUUAAACUCUUAAAAUCUAAAGUAUCCAGUUACUUCAGGGAUAACAGACUAAUUUUAUUAUUUAGACCCAAUAAAUAAUAAAGAUUGGCACCUCGAUGUUGGCUUAUAUUUCCUUCAUAUAGCAACAUAUAUAGAAGGCAGCU
rnacentral:rRNA from 1 species